CUGCUCGCCGCUUCGUCGGCCGCGUAAUCCGAGGCGUCCCGGGAGCUGAAGUGGCUGUUGUAACAAGACAGCUGUUGCACAAUCGCCUGCUGGAGUAAAAGACGGGUUUUCCACCGAAACGCGGGGGCGCCGGGGUAUGCCUGAUCCAGGAAGUAAGAAAACAUAAUUCUGUAUCUCACAACUUAAGGUUUUGGUCACCAUAAUACAAAAAAGAUGCUGUGGCCCUAGGAAGUGUGCAGAGAAGAGCAACAAAGAUGAAAAGGGGUCUGGAGGUUACAUCAUACAAUUAAGGGUUAGGGGAACUAAGUAUGUUUAGCCUAACAAAAAGGAGGCUUAGAGAGACAUGAUAGCAGUCUUAAAUACUUGAAGGGUUGAGAGGAAGAGGGUGUCAAUUUAUUUUCCAUAGCAACUGAGGGCAGGACAAAAACAAUGGGUGGAACCUCAUCAGAGGGAGAUCCAACAUGGAAAUAGGAGGAAAUUCCUGGCAGUGAGAACAGUUAAUGGAACAGUUUGCCUCCAUGAAGUGUGGGUGCUCCAUCACUGGAGGUUUUCAAAGAAAAAUUGGACAACUAUUUGUUCAGGAUUGUAGAAGGAUUCUUGCCCUGGGCAGAGGGGCUGGAGUAGAAGACCUCCAAAGUCCCUUCCAU